CACGUAGGGCGCAAGCGUUGUCCGGAAUUAUUGGGCGUAAAGAGCUCGUAGGCGGUCUGUUACGUCUGCUGUGAAAACCCGGGGCUUAACCCUGGGCUUGCAGUGGAUACGGGCAGACUAGAGGCAGGUAGGGGAGAAUGGAAUUCCCGGUGUAGCGGUGAAAUGCGCAGAUAUCGGGAGGAACACCGGUGGCGAAGGCGGUUCUCUGGGCCUGACCUGACGCUGAGGCGCGAAAGCUAGGGGAGCAAACAGG
rnacentral:rRNA from 1 species